rnacentral:rRNA from 1 species
GAUGAACGCUAGCGGCAGGCCUAAUACAUGCAAGUCGAACGGGUGGUCGCAAGACCACUAGUGGCGCACGGGUGCGUAACGCGUAACCAACCUGCCCCGAUCUGGGGGAUAGCCCGCCGAAAGGCGGAUUAAUACCGCAUAUACCCGCAGCCUGGCAUCAGGCAACGGGGAAAGAUUUAUUGGAUCGGGAUGGGGUUGCGUGACAUUAGCUAGUUGGCGGGGUAAGGGCCCACCAAGGCGACGAUGUCUAGGGGACCUGAGAGUGUGAUCCCCCACACUGGCACUGAGAUACGGGCCAGACUCCUACGGGAGGCAGCAGUAGGGAAGAUUGGGCAAUGGGCGAGAGCCUGACCCAGCCAUGCCGCGUGCCGGAUGAAGGCCUUCUGGGUUGUAAACGGCUUUUCUCAGGGAAGAAAAAGACCUUGCGAGGUACACUGACGGUACCUGAGGAAUAAGCACCGGCUAACUCCGUG